UAAGGACGCGUAGGCGGAAUAUCAGGUCUCUUGUGAAUUCCUAUGGCUUAUCCAUAGAACUGCUUGGGAAACUGAUAAUCUAGAGUGAGGGAGAGGCAGAUGGAAUUGGUGGUGUAGGGGUAAAAUCCGUAGAGAUCGCCAGGAAUACCCAUUGCGAAGGCGAUCUGCUGGAACUCAACUGACGCUAAUGCGUGAAAGCGUGGGGAGCAAACAGGAUUAGAUCCCCUGGUAGUCCACGCCCUAAACGAUGUAUACUAGUUGUUGCUAAGCUAGUCUUGGCAGUAAUGCACCUAACGGAUUAAGUAUACCGCCUGGGGAGUGCGGUCGCAAGAUUAAAACUCAAAGGAAUAGACGGGGACCCGCACAAGCGGUGGAGCAUGUGGUUUAAUUCGAAGAUACGCGAAGACCCUUACCCGGACUUGAUAUCUAACAAAUCAUCUAGAGAUAGAAGAGUGUCUGCUUGCAGAAAUGUUAAGACAGGUGCUGCACGGCUGUCGUCAGCUCGUGUCGUGAGAUGUUGGGUUAAGUCCCGCAACGAGCGCAACCCACGUCAUUAGUUGCUAACAGUUCGGCUGAGCACUCUAAUGAGACUGCCUUCGUAAGGAGGAGGAAGGUGUGGACGACGUCAAGUCAUCAUGGCCCUUAUGUCCGGGGCGACACACGUGCUACAAUGGCAUAUACAAUGAGAAGCAAUAUCGCGAGAUGGAGCAAAUCUAUAAAAUAUGUCCCAGUUCGGAUUGGAGUCUGCAACUCGACUCCAUGAAGCCGGAAUCGCUAGUAAUCGUAGAUCAGCCAUGCUACGGUGAAUACGUUCCCGGGUCUUGUACUCACCGCCCGUCACACCAUGGGAGUUGAUU
rnacentral:rRNA from 1 species